rnacentral:rRNA from 1 species
AGAGUUUGAUCCUGGCUCAGGAUGAACGCUAGCGGCAGGCCUAACACAUGCAAGUCGAGGGGUAACGAUUUCGAGCAAUCGAAAGGCGACGACCGGCGCACGGGUGAGUAACGCGUAUGCAACCUGCCUCUGACUGGGGAAUAGCUUCCGGAAACGGAAAUUAAUACCCCAUAACAUUGCGAAGCCGCAUGGUUUUGCAAUUAAAGCUCCGGCGGUUUAAGAUGGGCAUGCGUGACAUUAGUUAGUUGGUGAGGUAACGGCUCACCAAGACAGCGAUGUCUAGGGGUUCUGAGAGGAUUAUCCCCCACACUGGUACUGAGACACGGACCAGACUCCUACGGGAGGCAGCAGUGAGGAAUAUUGCGCAAUGGACGAAAGUCUGACGCAGCCAUGCCGCGUGAAGGAUGACUGCCUUAUGGGUUGUAAACUUCUUUUAUUUGGGAAGAAACCCCCGGACGUGUCCGAGGCUGACGGUACCAUAAGAAUAAGCACCGGCUAACUCCGUGCCAGCAGCCGCGGUAAUACGGAGGGUGCAAGCGUUAUCCGGAUUUAUUGGGUUUAAAGGGUGCGUAGGCGGGAUAGUAAGUCAGUGGUGAAAGCCUACAGCUCAACUGUGGAACUGCCAUUGAUACUGCUAUUCUUGAAUAUAGUUGAGGUGAGCGGAAUGUGUGGUGUAGCGGUGAAAUGCAUAGAUAUCACACAGAACACCAAUUGCGAAGGCAGCUCACUAAACUAUUACUGACGCUAAGGCACGAAAGCGUGGGGAGCGAACAGGAUUAGAUACCCUGGUAGUCCACGCCGUAAACGAUGAUCACUCGUUGUUGGCGAUACACUGUCAGCGACCAAGCGAAAGCAUUAAGUGAUCCACCUGGGGAGUACGAUCGCAAGGUUGAAACUCAAAGGAAUUGACGGGGGCCCGCACAAGCGGUGGAGCAUGUGGUUUAAUUCGAUGAUACGCGAGGAACCUUACCUGGGCUUAAAUGUAGAACGACGAAACGGGAAACCGGUCCUUCUCGGAGCAGACUACAAGGUGCUGCAUGGUUGUCGUCAGCUCGUGCCGUGAGGUGUCGGGUUAAGUCCCAUAACGAGCGCAACCCCUAUCACUAGUUGCCAGCGAGUAAUGUCGGGGACUCUAGUGAGACUGCCGGUGUAAACCGUGAGGAAGGUGGGGAUGACGUCAAAUCAGCACGGCCCUUAUGUCCAGGGCUACACACGUGUUACAAUGGUCGAUACAAAGGGCAGCUACCUGGUGACAGGAUGCUAAUCUCGAAAGUCGAUCUCAGUUCGGAUCGAAGUCUGCAAUUCGACUUCGUGAAGUUGGAUUCGCUAGUAAUCGUAUAUCAGCAAUGAUACGGUGAAUACGUUCCCGGGCCUUGUACACACCGCCCGUCAAGCCAUGGAAGCUGGGGGUACCUAAAGUCCGUAACCGUAAGGAGCGGCCUAGGGUAAAACUAGUAACUGGGGCUAAGUCGUAACAAGGUA